CAGGAACAUUCUAGUUGUGGUCCUCAGAAUACCCAGAGAGUGGGAAGUGAGGAGCUCUGCUGAAAGGCCCCUUUCCCCCAGAUCUCUCUACCUGGUCCACCCUGCAAUGAUGCUGGCUGCCCCUCGCUGAGAGUCCACCCCUUUGUGCUGAGGCUCCCUCUUCCCAGGGGCCUCCCAUGAAAGUGCCGGGACCCCAUAUAGUCUGAAGAAAUUACAAUAUAGCCUAAAGAUGGUACUGCCUGUUCACUUGGACAAGAUACUUGACCCCCUUGCACCUCAACACCCUCAUCUGUAAAAUGGGAAUAAUAAUUGCAUCUACCUCGGGGAUUGUGGUGCAGGUGAUAGGAAUGACUAUAUGGAAAGCCUGACGCAUAGCGCGUACAAUUUUGUGGUGUGUGUUAACUGUGUGCUCACGCGUUCGGAGGGGAAAUCUGUAUGGGCCCUUUAAAAAGCCUGGCAGGAACCCAGGUUUAAAAAAAAUGUAGCAACAACAAAAGUGCAGCUUCUGCAGUUUCUUUUCAAGUAAGACAAACUGUUCAAAACUGAACGAGCAUUAAUAAGUUGAAGUGCUGAAAGCGGUGAGUGACUGACUAUUCAUUUGGUUGCCAAGGAAACCCUCCAGGUUGGAAAAAAAAAGAUUGUCGUGGGGGUCGACACAGACACAGACUCUGGAAGUGGCCCACAGAACUCUGUCCUCCCUCCGUCACAGGGGUAAAAGCGAGCAAGACGCUCACGGGGCAUUUCAGAGCUAAGCCAUGUGGUUGUGAGAAAGCCUCCUGGGUCAGCAGAAAGCCUGCCUCUCUCGGGUAGAGCUUGGCAGAUCUCCUUAGGAUGGAGAAGAGAGGUUAGCCAUGGCCAGGGGAAGCAGCAUCGUGUGUUCUCGGGUCCAGAGGACGCUGAAGGCAACAGCCCACAGAGGUUGUCUGCAGGCCAUUUGGACCCCCGAGGGUAAAGUAUGAGAAAGGUGAUUUGUCUGAGUUCAUCAGAGUAACCCCAUUCCUCAGGCCAGUGAGUGACUCAGGAAUGGACAUGUGACCCAACAUAGCCAAUCAGAUGUGAAGAAACAUCUUAAGCAUGAUCCAAGAAAAGCCAUGGGAAGAAAGGAUCUCUUGUUGCUCCACUGGAUGUUACCAUGACUGGAUGGGACAUCUGGAAGUGCCACAGCCUUCCUAUUCCAAUACCAGCCUGAGAAUGAUGAUGACACAGGAUGCCAGAGCUGAGAAACAGAGAGAACCUGGCCUUGGUGAUUCGGAGUCAACUCCCCCUAGAGCCAUUUUGCCUCCAGCUUUCCUCGUAUGUAAGAUGCCAGAUGUCCUUAUUGCUUAAACCAUCUUGAUUCCUGUUUCUACCACUUGCAGCAGUAAGGAUCCCGAUACUUUAGCCCCAACGGAAACUCCAAGAGGUUAAGCAGUUCUACAUCACAUUGUUAGCGUGAUCAAAAUUGGAACUGGAAUCCCAAUCUCCUAUCAGCCAGGUCAUCUUUCACUCACCAGCUGCUGUUAAUUGGCAGAAAUGAUCUUACCCAUUUUGAUGAAUAUCAGCUGACUUCUCAAAAUAUCAUUUUUGUUGUAAAAAGAUGAAACCCUUAGCUAAUUUAAAGAGAAAAUCCAGGAAAAUAAGUGUCUGUUGAAUAAUGUGAUGCAUAAUGUAGAUGCUUGCUUUGAUAUUAUUUUAUGAUAGCAAUUAACUUAUAACUGAAAAUAUUUGGUUUCAUUUAAUACGUGAAAUAGCACCAUCUCCUUUAGAUAUAUACUAAAGACAAACGUGUUGUUGUUUUUUAAGUAACAUUUGUGAGAAAAACCUGCUGGGAAAGAUUCUUUCUCAUGGUAAUUCUUAAACCCUACAAAACUAAAAUAUGAUAAUCAUUUUUUUUCUACACUACCAAUAUGUAAAUUGACUUUUUUUCUUAUUUUCUUCAAGUUUUAUGCUUUACCCUUUAGCAAAUGUUUACAACAAAUUUUCAUCUGGCUAAAACUUUUUUUUUCAUCUUUGGAACAUUUCCUAUAGCCCAUAGUUUAAUCUUACCUUGGGAUCUAAAGCUGGAAGGGGCUCAGACAUCUGCUAAUUUAUCUUCCUUCCCUGCAGCAGGUAGGCCUUGGCCUUGGAUGAAGUGAGUGCGUGCUGCUUUCCCCAGAAGAGAAAUUAGCACUAGCACCAUCAGUAUCAAAAUGCCUCCUCACUGGGGGACUCUUCUCAGGUCUAACAUAAAGCUUACAUUGUACACUUCAGACUUGUUUCCCCUUAAAAAAAAUGAAUUAUUUAAGAGAGAGGGCGGUGCAGGGAGGGACAGAGAGCAUCUUCAAGCAGACUCCCCACUGAGCACAGAGCCCAACAUGGGGCUUGGUCCCACCAUGCAUGAGAUCAUGAUCCAAUCCAAAACCAAGAGUUAUCAGGUACCUGGCUGGCUCAGUUGGUCAAGCAUCUGCCUUCGGCUCAGGUCAUAAUCCCAGAGUCCUGGGAUCAAGCCCCACAUCAGGCUCCCUACUUAGUGGGGAGUCUGCUUCUCCCUCUGCCCCUCAACCCACUCAUGCUCUCUCUCUCUUUCACACACACAGAUAAAUAAAUAAAAUCUUAAAAAAAAACACAAACAACCAAGAGUCAGUCACCUAACCAACUGAGUCACCCAGGCACUUCUGCCCCCUCUUUUUUUGUACUUCCACAGUUGUCUAGAGCCUCUCUCAUCCUGGAUUAAAUUGCAAGUACUUUGCCCAGAUGCCCCUUGAUGCCUCUUCACUGUCUUUGCUCAGGCGUCUUCCAUCUCUCGUGCUGCCCACUGGCCACCCAGGGCUAUCUGCCGACUCCUAUGACAACCUUGGCAUCCAGGGCCAUGGCCGAAGCCUCCUCUGAUAUGAGUCUCUUUAUAAUUAGACUACAUGUCCUAGUCUGCUGGUUCAGUGCUGGUGUAGGCCCGUUGUCCGGCACAAUUUCCCUCUCACUCAACAGUGUCUUGGUUUGCUUAAGAAGUUUUAUGAUCCUCUUAUUUAUAGAAUAUGAAGCAUCAGGGUGAUUUCCCUGAACCUCCCAGCUUACAGGGCCCCACACAGCAAACAGAAGAGAUCAGACAUAGUGACUCAGCAUAGAGUGCUCUAGAACCGUGCUGUCCAAUAUGGUAGCCAAUAGCCACGUGCUAUUGAGCACUUGAUAUGGGGCUAGUCCUAACUGAGUUCUGCUGAAUGUGUAAAAUACACUCCAGAUUUUGAAGGCUUAGUACAAAAAAAGAAUGUAAAAUAUCUCAUUAAUAAUUUUUAUAUAGAAAUUAUAUUUGGGGUAUGUCAGGUUAAAUAAAACAUAUUUAUUAAAAUUAAGUAAAGUAUCAUUAGAAUUAAAAUAUAUUAUUUAAAUUACUUUGCUUUUUUAAUGUGGCUACUAGAAAAUCUAAAAUUACACAUGUCGGCGGGGGGCACCUGGGUGGCUCAGUCGGUUAAGCAUCUCACUCUUGAUUUCAGCUCAGGUCAUGAUCUCAGGGUCAUGAGAUCAAGCCCCGCGUUGGGCCUUGAGCUCAAUGGAGAACCCGCUUGGGAUUCUCUCUCUCCCUCUCCCUCUGCCCCUCCUCCUGCUCAUGCUCUAAAUAAAUAAAUAAAUAAAUAAAUAAAUAAAUAAAUAAAGUCUUUAAAAAUAAAAUAAAAAACACAUGUGGCUUGCACUUUGUUUCUGUUGGGCAGUGCUGCUCUAUACCCAAUGACUCACCCCCAGCAGUGGUUCUCCUCGACUUUCUUUUUCCUUUCCUACAUUAACAUCGUGCUGCCAAGGGGUGGAUAAUAACAGUUUUAGGUAUUACUCCUCCCAGAUGGUACUUGCCUGGUGACCAGGUCCACUGAUAGUACACAACCCUUACUAAAGUUGUUACAGGGUGGAAAAUGCACUGUUCUCCAGUGAGGAGAUUGGAAUUCUAGACCCAGUACUACAUCAGUGUGAGCUUAGCUGAGACACCAACCUCAAAGGACCUCAGAUUUCCCUUCUAUAAAAAUGAAGACUUGGAGCCAGACGACCACUGAAGCCCCUUCAAGGCUCUUCAAGGCCUGAGCCAGUGAACGAAUACUAUGGCAAUUUCAGGGAUACAUGUAGGGUUGGUGGAGGACUGUGAUUUAGGAGGAGCCCUUGGGUUGCCUCUCAGAUCAUACUAUGAGCAUGCCUCCCUGCCCCAAUCAAAGUGGCCCUUAUACCCAGAAUAUCCACAAUUAUACCCCUUGCCACAAUGGCCAAGUCAGAAACCAGUAUUUGGAUAAAAGAAGUUUUACAUACUUUUACAUACUGGUGAUAAUGCAGGCUAAACAAAAAUACAGAGGAUUAGAGGAUUGAAACUCAGAGAUAAUGAAUCCAUUAUAGGUCAUUGAGAGAAGUGAAGAUUAUUUUUGAGAAACAAUAAUCCUCCCCUUUCCCAACAACAUUUUUCUGGAAAGUGUACAUGAAGAAUGUUGUAAGAUAGAUGGAACUUUCCCAUAACAGCAAUAUUGUAGUUGGGAGUUUCAUUUCUGACCAAUGACCACAUUAUAAUAACCAUAGAUACUAGGGUAAUAACAAUGUGUAGGGUCAAUCCUCCCAGGAGGCAUUACAUUUUAAAAGAAAAUUUGUAGGGGCCCCUGGGUGGCUCAGUCAGUUGAGUGUCUGCCUUCGCCUCAGGUCAUGAUCCUGGGGUCCUGGGAUCGAGUCCCGUGUUGGCUCCCUGCUCAUCGGGGAGCCUGCUUCUCCCUCCCCAACCACCCCCCACCCCGCUGGUGCUCUCUCUCUCGCUGCCUCUCUCUCUCAAAUAAAUAAAUAAAAUAAAAUAAAUAAAUAAAUAAAAUCUUAAAAAAAAAAAAGAAAAUUUUAGGGGUGCCUGGGUGGCACGGUUGGUUGAGCGUCUGCCUGAUUCAGGUCAUGAUCUCAGGACACUGGGAUCGAGCCCUGCAUCAGGCUCCCUGCUCAGUGGGGAGCCUGCUUCUCCCACUCCUCCCUGCUCUAGCUCUCUCUCACUAUCUCCAUCUCUCUCAAAUAAAUAAAUAAAAUCAAUUUAAAGAUAUUUUUUAAAAAAAGAAACUUUGUAAACACAAAUGGAUUUCUAGUCUGUGGAACCUGGCAGCUAGGUUGGCUGAGGACAGACCCUUCUGAACAGAGGUGUUUUCCAAGGCGCUCAUCCCUUCAGGGCUGCUGCCAGACCCCAAGAAGGCAGGUGAAUUGACACCAGAAAGCCAGUGUUGUGCUUCUAAGAGGCCCACUUGGUUUAGCAGAUCAGCAGACUCUUUGAGGGACGUGGAACAAAGUUUUGAAGAAGCAGGAUGGAUGUGAGGUCAUCAUCCAGGCUCUCUGGGUAAGAGGAUGGCGUCCACAUGAACCAAUUGUUGAGUAGCCAGGAGGCACCUGGGGAUAUAGGACAGAAAAAGGAAGGGAGAUUCCUAGGCACCAGAGGCCAGAACGGGGCUAACAGACGAGUGAGGGACCGACCAGGGCCAUGAGGAAGACAGACGACCUCACUGGAGGGUCAUUAGAAUGCCAAAAGCAUAGACAAACGUAACUCACUUCCCGCGUGGCCAAGGGCCAGCUCCAUGGCUUCUGUUGGUGUGCAUUUCCUUUCAUUCAGGCUAUCGGUGACCUCAGAAGAAUGUGAAAAAUAUGUGCAGCCUUUAGGGAGUUGUUUCUCCUGUGCUCUACCUAAAGGGUUGACCUAGUGGGACGCAGAAGCCAGGCAGUACCCCCACUACUGUGACACCUGACUAACCCUGAUCAAGGGAGAGGAUGCAGAACAGGAGAUACGGACAUUCUGAAAAUCAUGGACACCCGACCAGAGGCCAAGUCAAAGAAGGAGAAGGAAACAAAGGGGGUAAUAGAAAGUACAACAUGGCACAAGUGAAGGACGCCUGGAUGACUCAGUUGGUUAAGCAUCCAACUCUUGGUUUCCGAUCUCAGGGUCGUGAGAUCGAACCCUGCUCUCAGAGGGGAGUCUGCUUGACAUUCUCUCUCUCCCUCUCCCCCUGCCUCUCCACCUGCGCUCUCUCAUUCUCAAAUAAAUAAAUAAAUCCUUUUUUUAAAAUGGCAGGAGUGAGAAGGAAGGGGAAAAGAAAAAGAGAAAGGGGGAGAGGGUUGGGAAACAGAACAAAGGAGACAGGAAGGGAAGAGAAGUUCAGAGAGACAGACUCCGCAGGUCCUGGGACAAGGAUUGGAAGAAAGUGGUCCCAGUCGCGGCUUGUUACUGGUUGCACUUUCCUGACAAGUUAUCACUGGGAGCCAUUGGAAUCUUACCUAUUUCUCAGAGCUCAUCAACUGCUUUCAUACUUGAGAAUGGACAGCCAGUCUCCAACCAGCGGCCAUUCUUUGGUCUACACCGAUGUGCCCACAGCAAUGCAAUCCACUGAUUUGGAUCACUUCAGAGAAGGAAUGAAAUCUUAAAGCCCCCUUCGCAGAAACGUAAGGCUACCAGGUGUUCCGUAUGGCAUGACCAGGAUGCAGAACCUACACUGAGGACUCUUACGUCAGUGUACCCCCACGCCGCCCGUGGACUAGACAUUUUGAGAUGAGUAAACGGAGCUGCCACGUAAUACCGUGAAUGGUAGAGCUGAGCUGACAUUCGUUCUUGCUGCUGUCUGACUUCAAACACCAGGCUUGUGGCUCCACAUCGCACUUCUUCUUGAGAGCCAGGCCCUAUGGUAGCAGCUGCAGUUUGGGGUAUGCAGGAAAGGGAAUGACUUGUCACUGGCAGGAGACUGGGCCACGAACACACACACAACAGCUAUUUGUGAAGACUGACUGAGUAGAUCGUGACUGCUUCUCUCCUAAGUUCUCUUGUCUUUCCAGAAGUGUCGACCUGACCCUGUGAGCCCUUUGCCAUUGCUCCGUGCUCCUGCUUUCGACCGGACUUCAGCGGACUCCUAACCAGCAAUGUCUCCAGGUGGAUUGUUAAGCUUUAAUUCUCACAUAAGAAUGAUCAGUUUUCCCCAUUUCUUGUCUGAUUUUAUCCCCAGAAUUCGGGAUUUGGAAAAACAUAGGAACGUUCCAAGAAAUGCUGGGAAGGAAUUCCUGAAUGAAAACCACUUCUUCCUCAGCCAUCGAGAAGGAAUGGCGCCACAGAGGCCCACAGUUUCUAACAGCCAAGUCCCUCAGCUGAUAGUCGAGGAAGUGAUUUGAGCCCUCCCACUACAUGAAAAGCCAUGAAUUUUUAUUUAUUUUUGAGAGGGUGUCUCCAAGCAUCUGUUCGCUUUUUAACUUGUUUAUGUAGUUCAUUGACUGUCUACUCUGUGUCAGGCCCAGCUGAGCAGGGAGCCCAUUGUGGGACUUGAUCCCAGGACCCCGAGUUCACAACCUGAGCCCAAGUCAGACCUACUGAGCCACCCAGGAGCCCCCAACAAUGUUUUUUAAAUCCAUUUUAGGAGGGUACACAUAGUACUAUACCAUUUAUUUAAUUUUAAACACUAGGUAAAACUACAUAUUUAUAUGUGAGUCUGUUGUAUGUAAAGUACAAAAGCAUGAACUGUGACAACACACAUCAGAUUUACAAAAGUAGUGACAAGGACGUGGGACCAUCCAGGAGUUGUAUGGAGGAACAAAGGAAAAGCUCAACGUUAUCUGUAAUGACCUCUUAUUUUAAAAAAAUACAAAGUAAAGGGGCACCUGGGUGGCUCAGUGGGUUAGGCGUCCCACUCUUGAUUUCGGCUCAGGUCAUGAUCUCGGGGUCAUGAGAUCUAGCCGAGUCAGGCUCUGUGCUCAGCCCAGAGUCUGCUUGUCCCUCUCCCUCUGCCCCUCCCCCCACUGCGCACUCAAGCUCUCGCUCUCUCAAAUAAAUAAAUAAAAUCUUUUUAAAAAAAGGUAAGAUCAACAAUGUUAGCAUUUAUUAAUUCUGGAUUGUACAUAUGUUGAUUGUGUUUUUAAUCUGUGUUUUUCUGAAUGUUUUUAACUCUUCAAAAAGUGUUAAAGAAUAAGAGAAAAAUCCAAUCUGCCCUCUGACAUAUUGCCUGGCUGGUACCUUAGAAAAAGCAGUAACACUCCCACAAAAAAAGAAAUGAUAACUAUGGAACAUGAUUCCCACAGUGGUAAUUAUAUUGUAAUAUGUAAGUAUACCAAAUUAAUGCAUUGUGCACCUUAAACUUAUAUAAUGUUAUAUGUCAAUUUUCUCAUUUUUUAAAAAAUGGAAUAAAAUUCAACAUAAAUUGAAAAAAAAAAGAAAGAAAAGCAGUAACAUGGACCUCUGGCCCUCAGAAUCCCUAAGAGACCCUCCUCGUACCUGCCAACAAUCACACACACACACACAUACAACUAUGCACACACCCCACCUACUAAAGAGAUAGGGCUUUGGAUCUUUCAGUCGCUUGGUGAGCCCAGGUAAUUAUAGUCUGAACGUAAGACCUCAGAGAUCCACGAGGCCUCCCUGCAUAGUGUUUACAAAGGCCGGACUGCCCGCCUUUGUGAAGCACCAUCCUCGGGGAGGCUGAGACACAUCUUGGGUAUUGCUGCUGGCAAAUAACAAGGUCAGAUCUCAGACCUCCAGCAGCGGGGCGCCUUUGACCUUCCCAGAGCCAGGCUAGCAUAAGCUUCUCUUAGAAUUAAUUUCACUAAUGCCCUUAAUUUGGCACUUUGAAUUAAACAUUAUGCCAGAAACAAGAUGCAAACUUUAGAGGUAUUCUCUUUGGCCUCAAGGAACUCACUUUCUAGCAAGUGAUAUACACACAUACCAAAUCCUAACAUAGUACAACCAAUAUUAGCUUUGGUGGAAGUGCUUAGAUACCGAAGGCAUCAGGAUAAGCCAGGAUGUCUGCGGUAACAACUAUGUUCUUCAAUCUCCACAGCUUGCCCCAGUAAAGGUUUAUUUCUCAUUCACAAGAAGCCCGAGGCAGGCCAGGCAGCUCCUCUGCCCAGGAAAACGGUAUAGUGCGCUAUAUUCGUUUCCCAAGGCGACCUUAACAAAGCGUCACAAACCGAGAGGCUCAAAACCACAGAGAUGAUUGUUUCACCAUCUGGAGGCCAGAAGUCUGAAGCCCAGGUGUCGUCAGGGCCAUGCACCUUCCUUGGCCUCUAGGGAAGGAUCCUUCCUUGCCUCUUCCAGCUUCUGGUAGCCUCGAGUAUUCCUGGGUUCGAGGCAACAUAAUCCCAGUCCCAAUGUCUGCCUCCACCUUCACUUGGCUUUCUUCCCUCUCUGUCCGAAUUUCCCUCUUCUUAUAAGCGCAUCAGUCAUAUGGGAUUAGGGCCCACCCUAAUGACCUCAUCCUCCAUAACUCGAUGAUACAAUUCAACCCACAACACACACAUAGCUACAAGGUCAUGGCAGGACAGAGAGCUGGAGGGUACCACGGGAAGCAGUCAAGGGCUUGGUCUACAGGGGGCUAAGUUACUUAUGUACAUCUCCCACUGACCCAAACCUGGUCACAUGGUCCCAGCCUGACCACAAGGGAGGCUGGGAAAUGUGGAGGAGCGCGUGGCUAUUUGGUGAGCAUUGGUACAUCUGUGACCUCCCCUGUUCAGAACAGUCUUUAUUCCUCAGCCAGUGG